UACCAGCUCUUUGAGUGGUGUGGAUGUUUAUUGGGCCUAAAGCAUCCGUAGCUGGCUGGGCAAGUCCCCUGUUAAAUCCACCGAUUUAAUCGUUGGAGUGCGGGGGAUACUGUUCGGCUAGGGGACGGGAGAGGCAGUUUUUACGGAUUUUCGGGGUAGGGGUGAAAUCCUAUAAUCCCGGGAAGACCACCAGUGGCGGAGGCUGUCUGCUAGAACGCGCCCGACGGUGAGGGAUGAAAGCUGGGGGCGCGAACCGGAUUAGAUACCCGGGUAGUCCCAGCUGUAAACGAUGCAGGCUAGGUGUUUGGACGGCCACGUGCCGUUCUAGUGCCGCAGGGAAGCCGUUAAGCCUGCCGCCUGGGGAGUACGGCCGCAAGGCUGAAACUUAAAGGAAUUGGCGGGGGAGCACCACAAGGGUGAAGCUUGCGGUUU
rnacentral:rRNA from 1 species